GGAAUCACUCUCAACCGAUUACGCGGAUUGAACUUACUGAUAUGCCAAGCUUGAAGAUGUUCUCUUCACAAAGUCAGACAUUUGAAUUCCCUGAAUUAGAAGUGAUAGAAAUAACUGGAUGUCAUGAAAUGAAGAUGUUUUGUCCAGGAGUGUUGGAAACACCAGAGUUGUCUAGAGUAAAAAUAGAAGAGCAUGAGAUGAAAUGGAAGGAUAAAGAAGACCUUAACAAAACAGUAGAAAUGCUAUCCUCAGCAAAGGAUAGUGUUAAUAUAUAGAAGGAUAAGUCCAUCAUCCAUGUUAUCAUUCUUUCCAGGCGGCUAAUCCGAACUGUGGACUACAAAAUCAUUGACUACAAGAUGAUGAAUAUGGACAGAUUUGUGCGGUGAUGCUUUUGUUGAAUUCUCAAUUAUUUGAUAAAUGAGACUCUAUUUUUAUCAUAAACAAUGGGGUGAUGCAUGACAAAACUCUACCCAAAGCGUGGUUUGUUUCAUUAAUG